CAAUGAUUACAAUGUUCUCCGUAGAAUUUAUAAUUGAUAAUUUUUUAGUAAUAAGCAGAAAUCCACAUGCAAUAAAUAAAAUCAUCAGAAACUCAUAUUCACCGGAAAAUGGAGAGCAAGGGACCGAGAACCAGGGACCUAAUAUGCUGGUGUGAUCAUAUCUGCACCACACCCAAGUUAAAUGUCGCUAGAAGCCAGUGGUAUCAUAACAUCGUGCGUAAAAAUUAAUCCUCGAUGAAGAUUCCAACAUUGGGGAAUCGAAGCGAGGAUACACUAAUUAAGAUUCCUCCUCAAUUGAAGACCAAAAGAGACAAGAUCAAUGCGUCGAAGAUCGUGUGCCGGGCAUUCGCCUGGGGCCUAACGCCGGCACUGUCAAGGAGCACCAAGAAAAAAGGCCUUGCAAAAAUCUGCCGGAGCCUCUCGCGUUGGUUUUCGUUAGAAUUCUAAAUAGCUUCAUAUAUAGGGAGCCGAUAUACGAAACCGUUAAUCUUUUUUAGCCCCUAUUAAUUGACAUAGAUGGCGUUGUUUAUCGUACAAAGUAAAUAAAAUCAAUUUUCAGACACCCUUCUUAGACCACUCACAGUCCAGACAAAUGUUGAUGUAUAGCUUAAUUUUGGUCUGGGAAUGUUUAUAUCAAUUUCUUGUCAAGUCCAAUUGAUAAAAAAAAUUAAUAUUCCUACCUAUCGCAAGACAAGUGUGGCCUGACCUAUGUAUGGUUCCUGUUAUUUUAAAAGCAAUCAUCAAAUUAAUGUUAAUAAUGUCAACUAACGAGUAGUAACUAGAGGGACAUAAAUACAAUAAUCGUAAUAUGCC